rnacentral:rRNA from 1 species
UACAGAGGGGGCAAGCGUUAUUCGGAAUCACUGGGCGUAAAGGGUGCGUAGGCGGGUCUUUAAGUCAGGGGGGAAAUCCUGGAGCUCAACUCCAGAACUGCCUUUGAUACUGAGGAUCUUGAGUUCGGGAGAGGUGAGUGGAACUGCGAGUGUAGAGGUGAAAUUCGUAGAUAUUCGCAAGAACACCAGUGGCGAAGGCGGCUCACUGGCCCGAUACUGACGCUGAGGCACGAAAGCGUGGGGAUCAAACAGG